GUGUCAGCAGCCGCGGUAAUACGAAGGGUGCGAGCGUUGUUCGGAAUUAUUGGGCGUAAAGGGUUCGUAGGCGGGAAUGUAAGUUGAGUGUGAAAACCCCGGGCUUAACCUGGGACGUGCACUCAAAACUGCGUUUCUUGAGUGUUGGAGAGGGUGGUGGAAUUGCUGGUGUAGGAGUGACAUCCGUAGAGAUCAGCAGGAACGCCAGAGGCGAAAGCGACCACCUGGCCAAACACUGACGCUGAGGAACGAAAGCGUGGGGAGCAAACAGGAUUAGAAACCCCCGUAGUCC
rnacentral:rRNA from 1 species